rnacentral:tRNA from 1 species
GCGAGCGUGGUGGAAUGGCAGACACGUCAGAUUUAGGAUCUGAUGCCGCAAGGCGUGGGGGUUCGACUCCCCCCGCUCGCA